UGGGGAAUAUUGCACAAUGGGCGCAAGCCUGAUGCAGCCAUGCCGCGUGUGUGAAGAAGGCCUUCGGGUUGUAAAGCACUUUCAGCGGGGAGGAAGGCGUUAAGGUUAAUAACCUUGGCGAUUGACGUUACCCGCAGAAGAAGCACCGGCUAACUCCGUGCCAGCAGCCGCGGUAAUACGGAGGGUGCAAGCGUUAAUCGGAAUUACUGGGCGUAAAGCGCACGCAGGCGGUCUGUCAAGUCGGAUGUGAAAUCCCCGGGCUCAACCUGGGAACUGCAUUCGAAACUGGCAGGCUAGAGUCUUGUAGAGGGGGGUAGAAUUCCAGGUGUAGCGGUGAAAUGCGUAGAGAUCUGGAGGAAUACCGGUGGCGAAGGCGGCCCAAUGGACAAAGACUGACGCUCAGGUGCGAAAGCGUGGGGAGCAAACAGG
rnacentral:rRNA from 1 species